GAUGAACGCUGGCGGCGUGCCUAAUACAUGCAAGUCGAGCGAACUGAUUAGAAGCUUGCUUCUAUGACGUUAGCGGCGGACGGGUGAGUAACACGUGGGCAACCUGCCUGUAAGACUGGGAUAACUUCGGGAAACCGAAGCUAAUACCGGAUAGAAUCUUCUCCUCCAUGGGAGAUGAUUGAAAGAUGGUUUCGGCUAUCACUUACAGAUGGGCCCGCGGUGCAUUAGCUAGUUGGUGAGGUAACGGCUCACCAAGGCAACGAUGCAUAGCCGACCUGAGAGGGUGAUCGGCCACACUGGGACUGAGACACGGCCCAGACUCCUACGGGAGGCAGCAGUAGGGAAUCUUCCGCAAUGGACGAAAGUCUGACGGAGCAACGCCGCGUGAGUGAUGAAGGCUUUCGGGUCGUAAAACUCUGUUGUUAGGGAAGAACAAGUACGAGAGUAACUGCUCGUACCUUGACGGUACCUAACCAGAAAGCCACGGCUAACUACGUGCCAGCCGCCGCCGUAACAC
rnacentral:rRNA from 1 species